AUAGGAAAUGGAAUAAAAUAUGAAAUACAAAUCACUUCUAGCAAAGUGAUAUGAAAUGAUAUCUCUGUAUGUUAACGCAGGUCCGACUCCUACGACAGCUAUUCCAGUCGGAGUCUCAGUGCGAGCAGGAGGCGAGGGCGCCGGAGGAGUCGCAGCUCCAGGAGCUCGGAGCGCCGGUCCCGGUCCUCCCGCUCCUCCAGCCGCAGCUCGUCCAGCAGCCGCUACAGCUGAGAGGAAACUAAAAACCACACAAAAGAACUAUGACUGUAAUCACAGGUCAGCAGAUGAAGCUCGGAGAGGAAGAGUUGUAUCCCUUCUUGUUACAUGUUUAUAAUGGGACAGUCUUUGAGGAAGUGAAUGUAAAUAAGUAAACCACUUUACAGGCAGAUCUUCUUGACUGUCAAAGCUGACAAUAAGCUAUAAAAAAUGUUUUUAUGAGAAAAAUGUCCAUAUUUUAUACUGUAUAUUUUGUUAAUUCCUUUUUAACUUGUUUUUCUUACACUGAAAGGGAUAAUUAUUAUACUGUAAUUGUCUAAUCCGCUCAGUUCUGACGUGUUUCAGGAGUUAUAGGUUGAAGUUAUGCCUUAAAUUCAGAUUUUAAAAAGUGAUUGCUUUUUGUAGCAGUGUAAAGCUUUAUUCAAGCUGUGAUUUAUGUUCAUCUCAUUCUUUCUUAUUGUAUCAUGAAUGUUAAAAGCUGUACUCAAAGUAUAGUCUCUCUGAUUUGUAUUCAAACAGUUAUGAAUGUGUUUGCUGAAUAAAUACCACAGCAUCUUAA